rnacentral:rRNA from 1 species
GCUUGUCUCAAAGAUUAAGCCAUGCAUGUCUAAGUAUAAGCAAACUUGUACUGUGAAACUGCGAAUGGCUCAUUAUAUCAGUUAUAGUCUACUCGAUAGUACCUUACUACUUGGAUAACCGUAGUAAUUCUAGAGCUAAUACAUGCGCAAAUACCCAACUGCUUGUCGGACGGGUAGCAUUUAUUAGAUUGAAACCAAUGCAGUCUUCGGGCUGGUAUUGUGUUGAGUCAUAAUAACUCGCGGAUCGGUUUACCGAUGCAUCAUUCAAGUUUCUGCCCUAUCAGCUUUGGAUGGUAGGGUAUUGGCCUACCAUGGCUUUAACGGGUAACGGAGAAUUAGGGUUCGAUUCCGGAGAGGGAGCCUGAGAAAUGGCUACCACAUCCAAGGAAGGCAGCAGG